GGACGAUGCUGGCAGGCGAGGAUGCAGGAUGUGGGGUUUUAUCGGUGAAAAUACAGGGCAGACAAACUAACAUCGAACGACAGAUCUGGGGAAUACGGACUCAGACGCGGACUAAAUACACAGAACACAUCAGACUGAUGGAACGCAGCUGGGCACAAUCGGGGAAGCACACGUGGAUGAUCAGGCGGCGUGGCACACACGAGGAUCGGACGAGCCGGGCGUGACACUUUCACACCGCGCUUUACCGGGCAGCCAGUGGACCCCUUGGACCCCGAGAGGAUUUUUUUUCCUGGAGUAUUUGGUUCCUCCUCUGUUUUUUUCCCUCAUCCCUUCUUUCCCUCAUCCCUGUUCAUACGCUUGUUUGUAUAAAUGAUGUAGUAAUGCAUUUGCCACACACUCUUGUCAAGUGCCUUGGAGUGACUCCGCUGUAAAAGACAUUAUAUAAAAAUAAACCGAAUUUUACUGAA